AUUGAACGCUGGCGGCAGGCCUAAAACAUGCAAGUCGAGCGAGCGGCGGACGGGUGAGUAAUGUAUGGGGAACUGCCUGAUGGAGGGGGAUAACUACUGGAAACGGUAGCUAAUACCGCAUACUAUCAGAUGAGCCCAGAUGGGAUUAGCUAGGAGGUGAGGUAAUGGCUCACCUAGGCGACGAUCCCUAGCUGGUCUGAGAGGAUGACCAGCCACACUGGUACUGUGACACGGUCCAGACUCCUACGUGAGGCAGGAGUGGGGAAUGUUGCACCAUGGGCGCAGGCAGGAGGCAGCCAGGCCGCGUGUGUGAGGAAGGCCCUCGGGUUGUAAAGCACUUUCAGCUUUUAGUCGUUACCCGCAGAAGAAGCACCGGCUAACGCCGUGCCAGCCGCCGCGGUAAUAC
rnacentral:rRNA from 1 species